rnacentral:rRNA from 1 species
GUUGAUUCUAGCUCAGAUUGAACGCUGGCAGGAUGCUUUUUACACAUGCAAGUCGAACGGCAGCACGGACUGGUCUGGUGGCGAGUGGCGAACAGGUGAGUAAUGUAUCGGAACGUGCCUGAAAUGGCGAGAUAACUACGCGAAGCUAAUACCACAUACGCCCUUCGGGGAAAGCGGGGGACCUUCGGGCCUCGCACUAAUAGAGCGGCCGAUAUCGGAUUAGCUAGUUGGUGGGAGUAACGGCUCACCAAGGCGACGAUCCCGUAGCUGGUUUGAAGGACGACCAGCCACGCCAGGACUGAGACGCUGGCCCAGACUCCUGCAGGCGGCGGUGGGGAAUUUUGGACAAUGAAACCCUGAUCCAUACAUCCCGCGUGUACGAUGAAGGCCUUCCCAGGUUGUAAGCACUUUGGCGGGAAAACGGCACGGGAUAAUACCCGAUGCAACUGACGGUACCUGCAGAAUAAGCACCGGCCCAACUACGUGCCAGCAGCCGCGGUAAUACGUAGGGUGCAAGCGUUAAUCGGAAUUACUGGGCGUAAAGCGUGCGCAGGCGGUUCGGAAGAAAGAUGUGAAAUCCAGAGGCUGCUGAAUUUGCGGCACCAACUACGAGCUGAAAGGUGUGUCAGAGGUGGUCGCGAUGUGCGGUGAAGCCGUGGUCGCCGGAAGACACCGAUGGCGGCAACCUCCUGGGAUACUGACGCUCAUGCACGAAAGCGUGGGAGCAAACAGGAUUAGAUACCCUGGUAGUCCACGCCCUAAACGAUGUCAACUAGCUGUUGGGGCCUUCGGGCCUUGGUAGCUGUACCUUCGAAAGUUGACCGCCUGGAGAUACGGUCGCAAGAUUAAAACUCAAGGUCGACUAAGGGACCCGCACAAGCGGUACGAUGAUCAUGGAUAUUCAAUUACAGCGCGAAAAAUGCGCCACUACCCUUGACGUAUCUGGAAUCCGAAGAGAUUUGGGAGUGCUCGCAAGAGAACCGGAACACAGGUGCUGCAUGGCUGUCGUCGGCUCGUGUCGUGAGAUGUUGGGUUAAGUCCGCAACGAGCGCAACCCCUUGUCAUUAGUUGCUACGAAAGAGGGCACUCUAAUGAGACUGCCGGUGACAAACCGGAGGAGAGUGGGGAUGACGUCAAGUCCUCUGGCCCUUAUGGGUAGGGCUUCACACGUCAUACAAUGGUCGGGACAGAGGGUCGCCAACCCGCGAGGAGCCAAUCCCAGAAACGAUCGUAGUCCGGAUCGCAGUCUGCAAUUCGACUGCGUGAAGUCAAGAAUCGCUUAGUAAUCGCGGAUCAGCAUGUCGCGGUGAAUACGUUCCCGGGUCUUGUACACCGCCCGUCACACCAUGGGAGUGGUUUCACGAGUAGUUAGCCUAGCCGUAAGGAGGCGUUACCGGUAGGAUUCAUGACUGGGGUGAAGUCGUAACCAAAAUUAA